rnacentral:rRNA from 1 species
CCUACGGGUGGCAGCAGUGGGGAAUAUUGGACAAUGGGGGGAACCCUGAUCCAGCCAUGCCGCGUGUGUGAAGAAGGCCCUCGGGUUGUAAAGCACUUUCAGUGAGGAAGAACGCCUGGUGGUUAAUACCCAUCAGGAAAGACAUCACUCACAGAAGAAGCACCGGCUAACUCCGUGCCAGCAGCCGCGGUAAUACGGAGGGUGCGAGCGUUAAUCGGAAUUACUGGGCGUAAAGCGCGCGUAGGUGGCUUGAUAAGCCGGUUGUGAAAGCCCCGGGCUCAACCUGGGAACGGCAUCCGGAACUGUCAAGCUAGAGUGCAGGAGAGGAAGGUAGAAUUCCCGGUGUAGCGGUGAAAUGCGUAGAGAUCGGGAGGAAUACCAGUGGCGAAGGCGGCCUUCUGGACUGACACUGACACUGAGGUGCGAAAGCGUGGGUAGCAAACAGGAUUUGAUACCCUGGUAGUC